UAUACUUUUCGCAGCUACCUCAGUUCUCAGUGACAUUCUAUUUACCAUAAUGGCAAAACAGCCAGAAAAACGUUGUGAUAGUUUAUUCAGACACCGCAUUUGUUUCCAGCGGCUCCAGUAAUGACCAGGUAGCUUCUCGUCCUCUCGGUACAUUUAGGUCAACUGUAUGGCUGCAUAAGGUGUUAACCGGAAACUGUUGGACAAUGAUCAUAACUGACAGCUCCGCAAUUUCAGGAUGACAAUCUUUUCGGCUCAAUAUAUUUAGCAGGUUUGGUCUGAAACUACAACAACUGCAAUGGGAACAAUCAGUUCCUCGAACAUGUGCCACUGUAUCUCGACCCGUAAGCACAAGGGAAAAUGAAAUCGGAAGUAAACAGUUUAAACCUUUGCUAAUAAAUGAAACAACACCUUG